AUGGAAGAGAGGAUGCGCCAGCUCCAAGCCUUGGCCUUAGGAGCCCUUGAGCUUCUCCACUUGCUCUGCUGUCUCCCACCGUCACUGAGAACAAUCCUAGGCUAGCCUGCAGGAGGAUGAAGCCCACGUAGGGGAGAACCAUCCUACAGCCCACCGACCCCUAGCCUGGGAGAGAGACCAGCCAAGGUCAGGAGAGCUGCCUGGAUGACGCCCAGCUGGCACAGACUCACACAUAAGCCAGCUAAGACCAGUGGAACAGCUCAGCUGACCGGAGACUCCUGAGCCAGAAUAUAUGAUUACUGUUGUAAAUCACUGGGUUCGAGGCUGGUUUGUUACAGAAGAAUGGCUGACACGCUCUCCCUGUGCCUACACAGCUCCCGGUGCACCGUAAGUGCCGCAUAAUUGCCUGCUGUAGGGAGUGAGACAGGCUCGUGGCAUGGAAUUGAGCACCGACAUUUUUACUUGGCUUUAAGAUAUUUCCUGGCGGACAUCAAAGUUGAAGGAGGGAAUGUGGUUAAGAGAAAGGAGGGUUCAACUAGAGCUCGGGAGCCCUGGACAACAGGCCCAGACUACAUGCAGGCUGUCUAGGCCCCGGGGCCACCUCCUCCAGGCACCUCAGUUUCCCCAUCUACAACAGGACGGGGAGAAUUAGGCUUGAAAGAAAGGGCAGCCAGAACCUAGGCCACCACCAAGACGCAGAACCUGUCCCGCAAGGACACUCCUCCUGCUGCAGCCAUGGAGCUCUGGAUGUCACAAACUGCUUUGCUACUGUCCUGCCCGGGUCACCAGGGCUGGUGCCAGAAGUGAGUGGUUUAUCUCACUCGGGCUGCUUCUGCCCGAGUGGUUUCCCCAUUGUCCGUCUCCUUGGUGCCACCAGGUACCAGCUGACACUAUGGAGGGAUGGCUGGCGGAGCCCUGGUCAUGUGCCCUGCAAGGAAGCCUGGGAAAGUGAGGGAGGCAGACCCUGCCUUUCCCUAAGUUCCACCAUCCUCAGUACCUGUUUCCAUCCUCGACAUCUCUUCAUGGUUACCACAUGGCCACUGCUGCUUCAGCCAUCAUGUCAACAUUCGUCAGGAAGAAAGAGGAACUGGGAAGGAGGUCAAAAGGACCUCCCGGCUAAGUCAAUCCCUUAGAAAAUAUGUUUUCCUGGAAGCCUCACCCACUGACUCCCACCCCUGGACAGUUGGGCAAACCUUAGGACAUGUAUCUGAAAGGGCUUGGAAAUGUAGUUUCUCAGUUGGCCCAUUGUCAAUACUACCAAAAUCAGGGCUCCUUCCCAAAGGGCUCGAGGACAAUGGGUAUCGGGCAGGCAGGGAGCAGUGCCCCUCAGAGGAGCGGAAGGAGAAUUAGAAGCAGGGAUGUGGCAAGGUCGUGCUGCCAGCCCUGUGGAUCGUAGCCUGGGAAGAGCAAGAGAAACAGGAGAUGGGGAGAGUGUAAAAAAGCCAGAGUCAGUUUCGGGGCUGCGGGGAUGGAGAGAAGCAGACUUGAAGGAGGUGGAAUUGACAGGACUUGGUGAUGCCUGGGAUGUGAGGGUGGAAGAGAGGGAGCAUGAGGUUGUGAUAUAUAAUAAGAAAUAGAUAGUUAAUUUCCGUCCCCUCUUCUGGUGCAGAGCUCCUAAAACUCUUGGAAUUUUUUAGGUGAUAAGAGCAAUAAAUGUGUCUUUUAUUGUGUCCA
rnacentral:lncRNA from 1 species